rnacentral:lncRNA from 1 species
CUUACUAUAGGCAGCUGUGCAACUGUCAUCAUUUUCUAUGUGUGUGACGCAAAAUUUUGACAAACACUGUUUUAAGCAAUCAUGCAAAUAAUUUAACUUCUCAGGGUUUUUUUUACUCAAGACAGGUACACAAGAGAGAAGUUACAAAUGAAAAGCAUGUUUUUAAAGUCUUAGAGAUAUAUAUUCUUAGAUAUGAAAUAGAAUGAAUAUUCAAUUACAUAUGUUGCAAAAAACCAACAAAGCUAUAGUAAUUAAAACAAUGUGGUAUUGACUCAGUCAUUUUUUUGUUUUGUUUUGUUUUCUUUCUGUCUUUUGUCUUUUUAGGGCCACACCUGCAACAUAUGGAGGUUCCCAGGCUAGGGGUCUAAUUGGAGCUGCAGCUGCCGGCCUAUACCACAGCCACAGCAACACCAGAUCUGAGCUGCACCUGUGACAUACACCACAGCUCACAGCAAUGCCAGAUCCUUAACCCACUGAUCAAACCCACAACCUCAUGUCCCUCAUUUCCACUGCACCAUGAUGGGAACACUUCACUUGUUUUAUAACUGAAAGUUUGUACCCUUUGAGCAAUAUCUCCUCAUUUCUACUAUCCUCCAGCUCCUAAUAACCACCAUACUACACUCUGCUUCUGUGAGUUAAUUUUUUUUUUUUUUUUUAAGAUUUCACAUAUAAGCAAGAUCAUGCAGUAUUUGUCUUUCUGUGUCUGGUUUAUUUCACUAAGCAUAAUGUCGCCUAGGUUCAUCCACAUUGUCACAAAUUUCUUCUUUUUAAUGGCUGAAUAAUAUUCCUAUGUGUGUAUAUGUGUGCCAGUGUGUGUGUAUACAUACCACAUUAUAUACAUUAAUUCAUCCACUGAUAGAUACAUAGGUCUGUUCCAUGCCUUGGCCAUUGUGAAUAAUGCUGCAAUGAACAUGCACACACCUCUUAAAGUCCAAUUUCAUUUUCUUUGAAAAUAUACCCAGAAGUGGGAUUGCUGGAUGGUAUGGUACUUUAUUUUUAAUUUUUUGAGGAGCUGUUGUAUUGUUUUCCAUAAUGGCUGUAUUAAUUUACAAUCCCACCAACAGUGUACAAGGGUUCCAUUUUCUCCAUAACCUCACCAACAUUUGUUACUUUGUAUUUCCCUGUAUUUUAGUGAUGAUAUUAAGCACAUUUUCAUAUACCUGUUGGCCACCUGUGUGUCUUCUUUAGAAAAGUGUCUAUUCAUAUCAUUUUCCCAUUUUUUUUUUAUACUUGACUAUUUAUGCUUUAUUUAGUAUCAUGUCCUCAGGCUUCAUUCAUGUUAUAGCAUGUGUCAGAAUUUCCUCCCUUUUUAAGGCUGAAUAAUAUUUUAUUGUGUGAAUAUAUCACAUUGGUUAUCCAUUAACAAGUCAAGGGACACUAAAGUUGCUUUUGCCCUUGGCUGUUAUAAAUAAUGAUGCCAUGAAUGUGGGUGUACAAGUAUCUCUUUGAGAUUUGCUUUAUUUUUGGGGGGGGGAGGGUAUAUAUGCAGAAGUGGCACUGUAAGGUCAUAUAGUAGUUCUUUUUUUUUUUUUUUUUUUUUUUUUCAUUUUCCCAUUUUUUAAAACUGGGUUUUUUGGUUUGUUUGUUUUUGUCUUCUGGGAGUUUUGUGUUUUCAGCUCUUAUACUUAAGUCUUUAAAUGCAUUUUGAGUUUAAUUCUGUGCACAGUGUAACAUAUAGGUCCAAUUUCAUUAUUUUCAAAUAUUUUCAUAUUUUGCAUGUGGCUAUAUAAUUUUCCCAGGACCACUUACUGAAGAGACUAUAUUUUUCCACUGUGUGUUCUUAUUGCCUUUGUUGAAAACUAGUUGCCGUAUAUGUUUGGGUUUAUUUCUGGCCUCUAUUUUGUUCCAUUUGUCUAUGAAUCUGUUUUUAUGCCAGAUCAGAUUGUUCCUGGUUGGAGUAGAAAAGGAUAUAUUCACCAAAUUGUCAGCUACAUACUAUUUACCAAUGGCCUUAUCCAUUCUCUCUAG